rnacentral:tRNA from 1 species
GGGCGCGUAGCUCAGUUGGAAGAGCGCCUCCCUUACAAGGAGGAUGUCGGGGGAUCGAGGCCCUCCGUGCCCACCC